rnacentral:tRNA from 1 species
GAGGGUAUAGCUCAAGUGGUAGAGCAUAUGCUUAGCAUACACAAGGUCCUGGGUUCAAUCCCCAGUACUUCCU